rnacentral:rRNA from 1 species
GUAGGUGGCAAGCGUUGUCCGGAAUUAUUGGGCGUAAAGCGCGCGCAGGCGGUUCUUUAAGUCUGAUGUGAAAGCCCACGGCUCAACCGUGGAGGGUCAUUGGAAACUGGAGAACUUGAGCACAGAAGAGGAAAGCGGAAUUCCACGUGUAGCGGUGAAAUGCGUAGGGAUGUGGAGGAACACCAGUGGCGAAGGCGGCUUUCUGGUCUGUAACUGACGCUGAGGCGCGAAAGCGUGGGGAGCAAACAGGGAUUAGAUACCCUGGUAGUCCACGCCGUAAACGAUGAGUGCUAAGUGUUAGGGGGGUUUCCGCCCCCUUAGUGCUGCAGCUAACGCAUUAAGCACUCCGCCUGGGGAUACGGCCGCAAGGCUG